UUUGUGGGUGCUCGAGUGGCGAACGGGUGAGUAACACGUGAGUAACCUGCCCUUGACUUUGGGAUAACUUCAGGAAACUGGGGCUAAUACCGGAUAGGAGCUCCUGCUGCAUGGUGGGGGUUGGAAAGUUUCGGCGGUUGGGGAUGGACUCGCGGCUUAUCAGCUUGUUGGUGGGGUAGUGGCUUACCAAGGCUUUGACGGGUAGCCGGCCUGAGAGGGUGACCGGCCACAUUGGGACUGAGAUACGGCCCAG
rnacentral:rRNA from 1 species